CCAUCAGCUAGUUGGUGAGGUAACGGCUCACCAAGGCAGCGACGGAUAGGUGGUCUGAGAGGAUGGUCACCCACACUGGGACUGAGACACUGCCCAGACGCGUACGGGAGGCUGCAGUCGAGAAUCUUCCGGAAUGCGCGAAAGCGUGACGGAUCGAUGCCGCGUGCCGGAUGAAGGCCUUCGGGUCGUAAACGGCUGUCACCCGGAACGAAUAUUGACGGUACCGGGAGAGGAAGCCACGGCUAACUACGUGCCAGCAGCCGCGGUAAUACGUAGGUGGCUAGCGUUAUUCGGAUUUAUUGGGCGUAAAGGGUUCGUAGGGGGCCGAGUAAGUCUGAUGUGAAAUCCAAAGGUUCAACCGUUGAACUGCAUUGGAUACUGCCCGGCUAGAGUACUGGAGAGGUAAGCAGAAUUCCUGGUGUAGCGGUGGAAUGCGUAGAUAUCAGGAGGAAUACCGACGGCAGAAGGCAGCUUACUGGACAGUUACUGACCCUCAUGAACGAAAGCUAGGGGAGCAAACAGGAUUAGAUACCCUGGUAGUCCUAGCUGUAACCGUUGUUCACUAGAUGUAGGCGGAUUGGUCCCGUCUGUGUCCAAGCUAACGUGAUAACGUGAACCGCCUGGGGAGUACGGCCGCAAGGCUAAAACUCAAAGGAAUUGACGGGGGCCCGCACAAGCGGUGGAGCAUGUGGCUUAAUUCGAGGCAACGCGAAGAACCUUACCUGGCUUUGACAUAUAUCUGACCGCCAUGGAGACAUGGUUUCUCUUCGGAGCGGAUAUACAGAUGCUGCAUGGCUGUCGUCAGCUCGUGCCGUGAGGUGUUCGGUUAAGUCCGGCUACGAGCGCAACCCGUGCUGCUAGUUACCAGCGAGUAAUGUCGGGGACUCUAGCAGCACUGCCCGUGCUUAGCGGGAGCCCGGCGCGGACGACGUCAAGUCAGUAUGGCUCUUACAACCAGGGCUGUACACGUGCUACAAUGACCGGUACAAUGGGAUGCCACUCUGCGAAGAGGCGCCAAUCUCUNAAACCGGCCCCAGUUCAGAUUGGAGUCUGCAACUCGACUCCAUGAAGUCGGAAUCGCUAGUAAAGGCGUAUCAGCAACG
rnacentral:rRNA from 1 species